UCAACAGAUUUUUACAUUACAAGCUCAAGAGGCCACAGCUCCUCUUUAGUACGGUGUAUAUCCCCGUCUGAAACCACAGUGCUGUGCACAGGGCCGCACAAGUUUGCAGGAGACACAGAUGGUGACGAUGAAAGGAAAGGAGAGAGGAGAGGAAGUCACCCUGAACAGGCUGAACCACACACUGCCUAGAAGAAGUGAUGAAGCUGAUGUCAAGGUGCGCAGACUGAAAGAGGACUCGGAAAUGAGAAGACAAGUUGUGUGACAUCUCUUUUUCUGCUGUGCUGGAGCAGGAUCGUUGCUUGAAACUGUGGGAACUCCCUUAACCGGAGAUGUUUGGCUACGUUGGACCUGCAAUGCUUGCAGAAGCAAGACCACCCACCAACCUCGACUCCCCUCCACUGCACUCACCGCCCCUAUUUUAAAGGGGAAAGAUGCAGAGGUAGGAAGGGAGUGUACAGAGAGUAGAAAGAGGAAGCAGCAUGUAGCUGAAUAUCUCAUGUCAACCUCAGCGGCAGAACUUCUCUGUUUUUUUUCAAAGAAAUAACAAUGAACCUAGAGGAGCAUUCUCCACUUCGAUUUUCUGUGACUGGAAGAUGAUGGCAGGUUUUCUGAGUGUUCCCAUCAUGAGGCCUUACCACUGCUGGACCAUCUUGCAUGUGUCCAUCUUGGCAGUGCUGUUUCUCACCAUGAACGCUGACAGUGAAGAUACAGAUUGUGAAGUUGUACUUAAAGUACGCCGCAGCACAGUUUAUGAAGCUUCCCUUGGGGAACAACUUCGGAUUAACUGCACCUUUAUUUUCUGCAACAAUACACCACCAACAAUCUCCUGGUAUAAAGUUGAGAAGACGAACGUCCCGGUCAAUUUCAGCAGUGACAGUCACAUUAAAUCAGAAUGGAAAACUUUAAAAGCUGGAGAAGGAAUAUCAUAUUUGAUCUUCCAAAACCUACUCAAAAGUGACUCAGGUGUGUAUCACUGUCAUGAUGGAGUCGACGUGAGUCAUGGCAUCAACGUCUCUGUCCAUGGUGAGUGAAGUUUCAAUAAUUUAACACAUUUAUACUGAGCCAAGAAACCUGCGUUCUCAUUUGUAAAGCUGAAUAAUAAAUAAACAAAUGCCGUGCAGCGUUUUGGUUUGUAAGUUUAAAACAUUUCUGACAACAUUCUCGUUAUUUUCACCCCCAAAAAGACGUUAAGACUCUGUUGUUUUUUAGAUGUUUUAGAUGUGCCUUCAAAUGAUACAAAGAAGAAUGACACAAAUAGCAUCAAUUCGGAAAACAAACCCGAUAUUUUGAUGUACGUGUACCUCGCUGCUGGGAUUUUGGCAUUCGUCAUCAUAGUUAUAGUUAUAUCUGUUGCAUCAUUGCAUGGAUGUAAAAGCAAAUCAAAGAAGAAAGAGACGCAAACUGAUAAUGAGUACAUGGCGAUCCCCAUGGUCGAACAUCCCUUCCAACACGACAGCCUCCAGGCUUCACCCAGAGGAAGCCCUUCUGAGCCGCUGUCUCGGCGAUCUACCCGGAAAAAGACACCCACGCCUUCACCCUCGCAGCCAAACGACUUGCCGACACCAAAGGACAAUGAGCACCUUUACGGGAAGGUCAAAGAGGGCAGAGGGAGACAGAGGAAUACGGCGGAGGAAGAGGGUUCUGUUGUGUACGCUGCCCUCAACCAUCAGGCUGCAGCUCGGCCUGUUGCUCGGCCUCGGAGGCCGCAGGAGGAGAGUUCGGAGUACGCGGCAAUCCGCGUAAAAAACUAGAGACUAUUUCAAACUGGUGCAUCCCAGGAAUGAAAAGGGGAUACAAUGACUUCUUCUUACAGCAUGGGGUCAGGAUACAGGAAACUCGUGACAUCAAUCCAGUUGAUACUUUAAAGGCCUUGCACGCCUGCACUGGCUGAUCGAUGGACUUCUGCUCAAGUUUAAGUUUGACGAAACCAUUGUUGGAAGUUUUUUGAGCUCUAGGCGUGGCGAAUUAAAAUGGAGGAAGCUGAACCAACACUGUGGUGGCUUGCAUCGGGGUGUGGUUUCCACUACAUUUCAAUUUGGGAAGCAAAAUCAACGGUUCUGUGUGGCAAAGUAACAAAACACCACCUAGAUGCUAGAUUUCUAAUGCCCCACAAGAAUGAAUGAUAAAAGGUAAAGGUGUAAGCUAAUAGGUGCAACAAGAGAAUUAUGGAAAUCAUAAUUUUCCCCCUUCGGCUACUUUUUAUGCUCACAAUUUUAGAUAAAGAUAAAGGUACUUAAAAGGAUUUUUGUUUACUUGGAAGUGUUAUUGAAGAAAUCUUAUCUCUCUAUCUCUUAUACGUCAUACGGCUCCAAAAAAUAUGUGAAUGAGUCACUCAGUGUAUGACUCAUUCACUCACACACUAGUUUAUUUCGAGCCAAUUCCACACACAGCUGUAAAUAUCCAGUCAAACAAGAAAUGUGUAUUCAUCCCCAACAAAUUCAUUAUUUACUCCAGUUUGAGUAACUUCUGCUAAAAGCGACAGUGCUCGGCCGUUUUGAGAAAUUUAAACGUGAAACUAAGAAUGUAUGCCGUGUUGUUAAAGUUCUUCAAUAAGAAACAAUGUGUUUGUGCCUGAGGACAACAGACGGCGUGGGAAAUCAGAGACUUUUUUGGUGGUUUUAUUGGAUUUGUUGACAAUAUGAGAUAAAAGUGGGAAAAUCUGCAGCAAAUUUUGUGUUUUUACAGUGUUUUUACAAACCCACAUGGAUUUGUUUGUGAUCUUUGUGCUGAUGCACACCCAUAACUUGAAUUUACUUCUUUUUUUCUUUAACAUAACCUGCAUCAUAUUGACUGAGUUUGUGACGAUGAAUGACUACUGAGCUUUUGUAUAUUUGUGUUCGACAAACUUCAACGAAUCAAUGAUUGUGUUUCUUUAACUGGCUAAUGGAGAAUGUAAUCUCAUCGUGUUGUGCAAUCAGAAUGUGUAUCUAUAACUGUAUGAUUUGAAUUAACAUUAUCUAAUACCAUCAAUCAUGACUCACUCUUCUGUUCCUGUAAAUCAGUCUGAUACCAAGGAAGCCAAAAUGUUGCUGAAAACCCCCAAAAAGCUUCAGAAAAAAGUUGCGUGUGGCAAAAAAUGUCCCUCUUUUGCACUGUGAUGUGUUGAGGGGGGUACGCGGCACCAAAGACCACAGUAAUCACAAACAGGAAGCGUGUGUGUGUGUUUACUGUAGUAUGUAGAGCAGUCACACACUAUUAGUUCUGACUCUUGAGGUGUUUUCUUCAUGAAACUGGCUGGUUGUUCUUCAUGUGUCCAUCUUAGUGCUGCCUCUCCUCGAGUUGGGAAACAGGUAGUAAGUCUCUGUUAUUCUCUCGACAUCACUACAUCUGAGGAGGUCUUUGUGAAUGAUGUUUUGCAAUAUACUAGGUAAAUUGCGUACAUGUAUAUUCUCCUGAACGCACCAAACGUGGUGCGAUUUUAUCUUUUUCCUAAGAACUAUGCCGUGAAUGUACAGGCUCUGUGAAAAAACGAAAGAAAACCAACAAGGGUUCAACAUGAAUAACUGUUGAAGCUUUGAUGCUACCACAAGGGGCAAACAAUGAUUAUGUAUAGACGGGUGAUGAAAGAUAUUAGCUCGAACUUCUAUGGAACUAUUUUAAGGCGAUAUAAGUGACACAUUUUUCUGAAAACUGUGUUCUGGUACAAAGUAUGCAAACAUAGGAGGGCACUACAUAAGCUCACAUGGACUAAUUGUUUUAUUAACGACGCUGGAGCUGUUCCUUUGACUGAAAUUUAGCCAUUAUGAUCGUCAGACCUGGAGUUCAUUGGCUCAUUAAGUAAUGGAAACUUAAGCAGUCAGAAAAGAACCUAAGCUAGAAAAAGUAUUGCAACCGCAAACAAGCCAAAAAUAACUUCCUGACCUGAAUUUUCAGUUUGAUGGUCACAGCUACAGCUGCAGCUCUGUGAUCUAUUUCUUUUAAUUCGAGCUAAUGUUCUAAACUUUGGUUGUCAUGAGUUGUCUAGUCGUUUCGAAUAUGUAGUUUGUUUUGUAAUUUUCUUUCCGCAGUAGACACAAAAUGUGAAGUUUAAAUUAAAGACCAGCGUGACCCAGUUUGAAGCUCGCCUUCAGGAAGAACUUUUGCACCGUUGGUUUCUGCAGAAGUUCACCACCCAUAGCUUCCUAUAAACUUGAGGUUAGGGUUAGGGCUAGUGUUGGAAGUGACAGUUGCAUUGAAAACAGAGUGGAAAUUUUUUGCCCCUUUCAAGGGGUUAUUAUAUUUGAUCUUCGCAAAAACGUACCAGUGUCGUGUUGGAGGCAUUGUGAGCCAUACCAUCACCGUCUCCGUCCAAGAGAGCUCAACAAUGGACUACAGCACCAUAUUUUGGCUUCGUACUUUUGGUGCCGUGCUGUCCUUCUUGAGUCUAAUAUGUUUUUUAAUGAAGUGCUGUUCAGGAUCCGCAGACACAGGAGAUCCAAACCCUGUGCCCUCCUCCCAUCAGGCUUUGCCUCCCAGCCGUCAUAUCUAUGACAACGACCCGGAUUCUGAUUUGAUGCUUUAGACGUUAGAGCUACGAUUCAUAUCAAAACAUGUUAUAGUACUCAUUUCAAGCUUCAGAAACCCUAUUCAUGGACUUAUUUGAAUGUAUCUAUUCAUGUUUUGGCUGCUUUGUUUUUCUAUUUUUGUGUGAUAUGCUUUGGGAUUUAUUGAUUGAUCUUUAAUGGAAAUAAACUGUUUGUUUUUUUGGACAAAAUAAUGGUGUGUUCA